rnacentral:rRNA from 1 species
UACGGAGGGUGCAAGCGUUGUCCGGAAUCACUGGGCGUAAAGGGCGCGUAGGCGGCUCAUGAAGGCUGUGGUGAAAGUCCGGGGCUCAACCUCGGAUCGGCCGUGGCGACUCGUGGGCUGGAGCACUGUAGAGGCGGGUGGAAUUCCGGGUGUAGCGGUGGAAUGCGUAGAGAUCCGGAAGAACACCGGUGGCGAAGGCGGCCUGCUGGGCUAUGGCUGACACUGAGGCGCGACAGCGUGGGGAGCAAACAGGG